rnacentral:misc_RNA from 1 species
AAGAUGGAGGUCUGGUCUGUG